AAAAAAAAAAAAAAAGAAAGGAAUCGAAUCACGUUUCAUCUUAUACUGCUACUUGUUAAUAUUUAUUUCUUAUUUGAACAUUUACGUUUUACAUGAUUCAAUGAAUUUAAUGAAAAAACAAGUACCGUGUAGCGGUACCUAUCAAAUGGUAUGAUUGGUCGAUCGAAUUUUUCUUCUACAUUAUUUCAGUUUCGACGAAAAUUAUGAUACAGAAGUCUAGUUAGAAUUUCGCGAGUAUCUACAUACAUAGCGAGCGCUUGAUAACUAGAACCAACAGCCUCGGUGGAAGCCUCCAGUGAUUCGUAUUUGUACCAAGAACAAUGUUUAUCGAGUAAAAACGACUAUCGAUACUCAUUUAUGUACAUAUACAUAUACGAUCGAUAUAUGUAUAUUAUAUAUGAUUAUAUAUAUAUAUAAAGUACUACAACACGGCCCAUGUAUUUGUAUAGGAUAUCAUAUAUGUGUAUAUAAUAUAACUAUACAUAGUACGUUAGAUAUAGUAUUAUCCAAAGACUGAGAGUAUCGUUUCGACGCUCUUGAACUGCAUUAAAUAAUAACGGAUGGUGGUUGGAAACUGAAAAUCCUCUUGUGAAAUAGCAAACAGGAAAGAUUGUAUAGUAUAUCUGAAUCACAUGUUUCCGAGUUAUCCGUGAAAACUGUUUUUAUCAAGGAAACCUGCUGAUUUAAAGGAGUCGGAAAAUAAAACUAGAUUAGUUGCUAGUGUUUUCAAUCAGUUUCUGUAAUUACGUUCUAUGCAAAUAUGAAUUUGCAUAAAAACCCACGGUUUAAUUAUAAAAACAUUGUACGAUACAUUUCGUAAGGAAAACUGUUAAUGUUAUUAACACAGCAAUAGUGAUCAAAAAUCGAUUUGAUGGAUCUAAUUUUUCAAGGUGUCAAAUGAAAAUAAAAAUGUUUAAAGAACCCUUUAAAUCAGUAUCAUCUCUUGAACUGCUGUUUAAUAAUUGGCCAAUGACAAGUAUGAAAUCAAAUGUGACAGGAAAAGAAAAUUCUUCGUUUCCAUUGGAAGCUUCUACGUAUUCUUCACUAUCGAAGGCGGACUUGAUAAAUUUCAAAUAUAUACAUAUAUAACUACGUUAAAGUUUUGUAACGAGGUUUUUAUUGGGAAAAUUGAUAAAUCUGAAAUUAC